rnacentral:piRNA from 1 species
UGGAAACCAUGUAUGUGGUGAUGGAGUACGC